GGGUCAAGGCAGCAUAACACGAGUCAAGGUAGCCUAUGGCGGGUCAAAGGAGCAUAACGCGAGUCAAGGCGGCCCUAGAAGGGUCAAGACGGCCCCUUGGCGGGUCAAGGCGGCCUAAACCGGGCCAAGGCGAGUCAAGUCAACCAAGGCGGAUCAAGGCUAACUAAGCGGGUCAGGGCGAGUCAAAGAGGCCCCUUAACGGCCUUAGGCGGGUCAAGGCGGCCCCUUAGUGGCCCUAGGCGGGCUUGACCUUUAACGGGUCAAGGCGGCCCUAGUCGGGUAAAGGUGGCCUUUUUAGACAGGUGAACGCGACCCGAUGGAGGAUCAAGGCGGCUUCUUGGCAACCCAUAGAGAGUCAAAGCGGCCCUAGACCGGUCAAGGUGGCCCAAGGCUGGUCAAGGCGGCCUUAGACGGGUUAAGGCGAGUCAAGGCGGGAUAAGAUGGGUCAAGACGGCCCAAGGCGGGUCAUGGCGACCCAAGGCGAGUCAAGGCGGCCUAAGGAGUGUCAAAGAGGGUCAAGGCAGCCCAAAGCAGGUCAAGGCAACCCAAGGCGGAUCAAGGCAGCCCAAAGCAGGUCAAGGCAACCCAAGGCGGGUUAAGGCGGAUCAAGGCGGGCCUAGAAGGGUUAAGGCAACCUUUAGCGGGUCAAUGCGGCCCAUAAUCGGCCUUAGACGAGUGAAGGCAAUCCCUUAGCUGGUCAAGGCAGCCCUUGGCGGCCCUAGUCUUGCAAAGGCGGUUGCUUAAUGAAAUAGGCAGGUCAAGGAGACCCUAGGAGGGUUUAGGAGAGCCAAGGCAGCCUCUUAGUAAGUCAAGGCGGCCCCUUAGCAGCUUAGGACAAGUGAAUGCGGCCCAUUAACGUGUCAAGACGGCUUCUUGGCGGCCUUAAGAGGGUCAAGGGGGUGCAUGUACAGCAGUACGGUACAUGUACUUGCUUGUCGCCCAAUGCGGCCCAAACCGGGCCAAGAAGGGUCAAGGUAGCCCUAGGCGGAUCAAGGCGGGCUAAGGCGGGUCAAGGCAGCCCAAGGUGGAUCAAGGCGGGCCAAGGUGUGUCAAGGCAGCCCUAGGAUGGUCAAGGCGGGCCAAUGCGGGUCAAGGCAGCCCAAGGUGGAUCAAGGCUGGCUAAGGCGGGUCAAGGCGGCCCUAGUCAGGUAAAGGCAACCCUACGUGGGUCAAGGCAGGUCAAAGCUGCCCCUUGGCAGCCCUAGGCGUGUUAAGGCGGCCCCUUGGUGGCCCUAGACGGGCCUAUGAGGGUUAAGGCAGCCCUUUAGCGGGUCAAGACAGCCCCUAAACGGCCUAAGACGAUUGAAGGUAGCUCCUUAGUUGGUCAAGGCAGCCCCUUGGCGGCCCUAGUCGGGUAAAGCUGGCCGCUUAACGACUUAGGCAUGUCAAGGCGGCCCUAGGAGGGUUUGGGAGAGUCAAGGCAGCUCCUUAGUGGGUCAAAACGGCCCCUUGGCGGCCUUAGACAGGUGAACGCGGCCCCUUGGAGGGUCAAAGCGGCUUCUUGGCAGCCCUAAGAGAGUCAAGGCGGGUAAAGGUGAGCCAAGGCGGUAAAGGUUGCCCAAAGCAGGUCAAGGCGACCCCUUGGUGGCCCAAAAUAGGUUAAGACUACCUCUUGGCGGCCCUAGGAGGGUCAAGGCUGGUUAAGGCGGGUUAAGGCGGCCCCUUGGCGGCCCAAGGCGGGUCAAGGCAGCCUAAGGCGGAUCAAGGUGGCCCUAGGCGGGUCAAGGCGGCCCAAAGCGGGCCAAGGCGGCUUAAGGCAGGUUAAGGCAGCUUAAGGUAAGCCAAGGCGGGUCAAGUCAGCUUAAGGUAAGCCAAGGCGGGUCAAGGUGGCCUAAAACGAGUCAAGGCAAGUCAAAGCGGAUCAAGACAGGCCAAGACGGGUUAAGGCAACAUAAGGCGGGCAAAGGCGGAUCAAGGCGGCCCAAGGUGGGCCAUGGCGGGUCAAAGUGGGUCAAGGCAGCCUAAGGCGGGUCAAGGUAGCCCAUCGCGGGUUAAGGCAGGCCAAGGCGGGUUAUAACGGGCCAAAGCGGGUCAAGGUGUCCCAAGAUGGGCAAUGGCCGGUCAAGGCAGCAUAACGCUGGUCAAGGUAACCCAUGGCUGGUCAAAGUAGCAUAACGCGGGUCAAGGCGGCCCAAGGCGGGUCAAGGCGUCCCAAGAUGGGCCAUGGCGGGUCAAGGCAGCAUAAUGCGGGCAAAGGCGUAUCAAGGCGGGUCAAGACGUCCCAAGGUGGGCCAUGGCGGCCCAAGGUGGGUCAAGACGGGUCAAAAAGGGUCAAGGUAGCCCAUGGCGGGUUAAGGCAGGCCAAUGCGGGUUAUGACGGGCCAAAGCGGGUCAAGGCAGCCCUAGACGGGUUAAGGCGUACCAAAGUGGGCCAUGACGGGUCAAGGUGGCCCAAUGCGGGUCAAGGUGGCCCAAGGCGGGUCAAGGCAGCCUUAGACGGGUUAAGGCGUACCAAAGUGGGCCAUGACGGGUCAAGGCAGCAUAAGGUGGGUCAAGGCGGGCCAAGGGAGCUCAUUGCAGAUCAAGGCGGGCUAAGGUGGGUCAAAGCGGAUCAAGACGGGCUAAGGUGGGUCAAGGCGGCCCAAGGUGGGCCAAGGCGGGUCAAGGCGGGUCAACGCGGGUCAAGGCAAGUCUUGGCGGCCUAAGGUUAGCCAAGGCGGGUCAAGACAACAUUAAGCGGGCAAAGGCGGAUUAAAGCAGGUCAAGGCGGCUCAAGGUGGUUUAAGGCGGCCCAAAACAGGUAAAGGCAGGUCAUGGCAAGCCAAGGCGGGUUAAGGUAGCCUAAGGCCGGCCAAGGCGGGUCUUAGCAGCCCAAGGCGGGUGAAGGUGGGUCAUGGCGGGCGAAGGCGAGUCAAGGUGGGCCAUGGCGGGCCAAGCCGGGUCAUGGCAUCCCAAGCCGGGUCUAAGCAGCCCAAGGCGGGUCAUGGCAUCCCAAGGCGGGUCAAGAUAGCCCAAGUCGGGGAAAGGCGGGUCAUGGUAGCAUAAGGCGGGCAAAGGCGGGUCAAGACGGCCCUAGGCUGAUUAAGGCAGGUCAGGGCGGCCCAAAGCGGGCUAAGGUGGGUCACCCACGGCGAAUUAAGGCGGGUCAAGGCAGACCUAGACGGGUCAAGGCAACCUAAGGCGGGUCAUGGUAGCCCAAAAGCGGGCCAAGACGAGUCAAGGCAGCUCAAGGCGAAUCACGGCGGCCCCUUGGUGGCAUUAGGCAGGUUAAGGCGGUCAAAAGCGGGCCAAGGCGGGUUAAGGUAGCUCAAGGAAAAUCAAGGCGGGCCAAAGCGGAUCAAGGUGGCCUAAGGCGGGUCAUGGCAGCCCAAAGCGGGUCAAGGCAGCCUAAGGUGGGUCAUGGUAGCCCAAGGCGGGUCAAGGUAGACCAAGGCGGUCAUGGAAGCCCAAAGCGGGUCAUGGCAGCACAAGGUGGGUCAAGGUACCCCAAGGCGGGUCAUGCCAGCCCAGAGCGGGCCUAAGCGGGUUAAGGUAGCCCAAGGCGGGUCAAGGCAGGCCAAGGCGGCCCCUUAGCGGCAUUAGGCGGGUUAAGGCGGUUAAAAACGGGCCAAGGCAGAUCAUGGCAGCCAAAAGCCGGUCAAGGCAGCUCAAGGUGGGUCAUGGCAGCCCAAGGCGGGUCAAGACAGCCCAAGGUGGGUCAUGGCAGCCCAAUGCGGGUCAAGGCAGCCCAAGGCGGGCGGCAGGCCAAGGCGGGUCAUGGCAGCUCAAGGCGGGUCAAGAUGCAGCCUAAGACAGGUCAUGGCAGCCCAAGGCAGGUCAAGACGGGUCAAGGCAGCUCAAGGCAGCCGAAGGUGGGUCAUAGCUGCCUAAGGCGGGUCAAGAGAACGGAAGGAGGGCCAAGGCAGGUCAAGGCAGGCCAACGUGGGUCAAGGCGGGUCAAAGCGGGUCAUGCGGCCAAGCUUAGUCAAGGCAGCCGAAGGAGGGUCAUGGCAACCCAAGGCGGGUCAAGUAGCUCAAGGCGGGUCAAGGCAGCCCAAGGCGGGUAAUGGCUUCCCAAGGCGAGUCAAGGGAGCCCAAGGUGGGCUAAGGUGGGUCAAGGCGGGUCAAAACGGGUUACGGCGGCCCAAGGCGAGUCAAGGCAGCCCACGGCGAGUCAAGGCAGCCCAAGGCGGGUCAUGGCUGCCCAAGGCGGGCCUUGGCGGGUCAAGGUAUGCCAAGGCGGGUCAAGGCAGCCCAAGGCGGGCCAAAGCGGGUCAAGGCGGCCCUAGACGGGUCAAGGCGGGUUAAGUGGGUCAAGGCGAAUCAAGGUGAGCUAAUGGAGCCCAAGGCGGGUCAAGGCAGCCCAUGGCGGGUCAAGGCGACCCAAGGCGGAUCAAAGUGGGUCAUGGCGGCCCAAAGCGAGUCAAGGCGGCCUAUGGUGAGCCAAGGCGGGUCAAGGCAAUAUAAGACAGGUCAAGGCGGCCCAAAGCGGUCCCUUGGCGGCCCUAGUUGGGUAAAGGCGGCUGCUUAACUACCUAGGUAGGUCAAGCCGACCCUAGGAGGGUCUAGGAGAGUCAAGCUAGCCCUUUUGCGGGUCAAGGCGACCCUUUAGCGGCAUUAGACAGAUGAAUGCGGCCCCUUGGAGUGUCAAGGCGGUUUCUUGGCGGCCCUAAGAGGGUCAAGGUGGGUAAAGAAUGCCCACGGUGGGUAAAGGUAGUCCAAGGUGGGUCAAGGCGGCCCCUUGGUGGCCUAAAUUGGGUUAAAGCGGUCUCUUGGCGGCCCUAGGAGCAUCAAGGUUGGUUAAGACGGGCCAAGGGGGGUCAAGCCGGGUUAAGGCAGCCCAAUGCAAGCCAAGGAGUGUUAAGGCAAACCCCAUAGCGGGUCAAGACGGCCCCUUGGUGGCCCUAGGAGGGCCUAGAAGGGUCAAGGCAGCCUUGGGUGGGUUUAAGAGGGUCAAGGCCAUCCCUUGGCGACCCUAGACAGGUGAACGCGGCCCCUUGGCGGCCCUAGGAGGGCCUAGAAGGGUCAAGGCAACCUUGGGUGGGUUUAGGAGGGUCAAGGCCAUCCCUUGGCGGCCCUAGACAGGUGAACGCGGCCCCUUGGCGGCCCUAGACAGGUAAAGGGGGCCUCUUGAUGGCCCUAGAUGGGUAAAGGGGCCUCUUUGUGGCCCUAGAUGGGUUAAGGCGGAUCAAGGCGGCUGUAGACGAGAUAAGGCGGGCCUAGGCGGGUCAAGCCCAAAACGGAUCAAGGCAACAUAAGGUGGGUCAUGGCAGCCUGAGGUGGGUUAAAGUAGCCAAAGGCGGAACAAGGCGGGACAAGGCGGCCCUGGACGGGUUAAGGCGGCCUAAGACGGGUUAAGGUAGCCCAAGGCAGGUCAGGCCAACCCAAGGUAUGCCAAGGCGAGUCAAGGCGGCCCCUUGACGGGUCAAGUCAGCCUAAGGCGGGUCAAGACAGCCUAAGGCGGGUCAAGGCAGUCCACGGCGGGCCAAAGUGGGUUAUGGCGGCCCAAAGUGGGUCAAGGCGGCCCAAGACGGGUCAAGGCGGCCCAAGAUGGGCCAAGGCUGGUCAAGGUAGGCCGCGGAUUAAGGCGGGCCAAAGUGGAUCAAGGUGGCCCUAGACGGGUCAAGGUAGCCCAAGGCUGGCCAAGGCAGGUCAAGGCAACCCAAGACAGCUGAAGGCAGCCUAAUGUGUGCCAAGGCAGCAUAAGGAGGGUCAAGGCGGCCCAAGGCGGUUCAUGGCGGCCCAAGGCAGUUCAUUGCGGGUCAUGGCGGGUCAAGGCAGCCUAAGGCGGGUCGCGGGUCAAGGCAGCCCAAAGCGGCCGCGGGUCAUGGCGGCCCAAAACGGGUCAAGGUAGCCCAAAGCGAGUCAAGGCAUCCCAAGGUGGGUCAAGGCAGCCCAAGGCCGGUCGAGGCAGCCCAAGGUGGGUCGCGGGUCAAGGCAGCACAAGGCGGCCGCGGGUCAUGGCGGCCCAAGGCGGGUCAAGGUAGCCCAAAGCGAGUCAAGGCAUCCCAAUGCGGGUCAAGGCAACAUAAGACUGGUCAAGGUAGCUCCAAGCGGGUCAAGGCAACUCAACACGGGUCAAGGCAGCAUAAGACGGGUCGAGGCAGCCCAAGGCGGGGCUAGGAGGGUCAAGGUAGCCCAAGGCGGGUUAAAGCGGCCCAAGGCCCAAGGUGGGUCAAGGCGGCUCCUUGCGGGGUUAAGGCAGGUUAAGGCAGCAUAAGGCCGGCAAAAGGGGGUCAAGGCGGCCCAAGGAGGGUUAAGGCGGCCCUAGGAGGGUCAAGGCGUUCCAAAAUGGGCCAUGACGGGUCAAGACAGCCCAAGGCGAAUCAAGGCAGGCCAUGGCGGAUCAAGGCGAGCCUAGGCGGGUCAAGGCAGCCCAAGGCUGGUCAAGGCAGCAUAAGGUGAGUCAAGGCAGCCCAAGGUUGGCCUAGGCGGGUCAAGGUAUUUCAAGGUGGGUAAGGGCAGCCCAAAGCAAGCCAAGGCAGGUUAAGGCAGCCCAAGGCGGGUCAAGGUGGGUCAAGGUGGCCCUUUGAUGGGUCAAGGCGAGUCAAGGAAGCCCAAGGUGGAUAAAGGCGGGUCAAGGCAGCCCUAUGGCGGCCCUAAGAGGGUCAAGGCAGCCCAAAGCGGAUCAAGGCUUGUCAAGACGGCCCUAGGCGGGUCAAGGCGGCACUAGAUGGGUUAAGGUGUCCUCUUUGCGGCCCUAAGCGGGCCUAGGCGUGUCAAGAUAUCCCAAGGUGGGUCAGGCCUACCCAAGGUAUGCCAAGGCGAGUUAAGGCGGCCCCUUGGCGGGUCAAGUCAGCCCAAAGCGGGCCAAGGUGGGUCAAGGUAACCUAAGAGGGGUCAAGUCAGCUCAAGGCUGGCCAAAGCGGGUCAAGGCGGGCUAAAGCGGGUCAAGGAGGCCCUAGACGAAUCAUGGCGACCCAAGGUGGGCCAAGGCAGAUCAAGGUAGCUUAAGAUAGGUCAAGACGGCCCCUUGGCGGCCCUAGGCGGGUCAAGGAGGCCCUUAGCGGUCCUAGGUGGGUCAAGGCUGCCCCUUGGGCGCCCUAGGCGGGUCAAAGCGGUGGUAGAUGGGUUAAGGCGACCUCUUUGCGGCCCUAGGAGAGUUAAGGCGGCCCAAGACGUGUCAAAGGCGGCCUAAGGCAUGUCAAGGCGGCCCAAGACAGGUCAAGGCGGCCCCUUAGCGGCCCUAGGCGGGUCAUGGUGGCCAAAAGCGGGCCAAGGCGGGUCAUGGCGGGUUAAGACUGCCCAAGGCUGGUCAAAGCGGGUCAUGGCAGCCUAAGGUGAGCCAAGGCGGGUCAAGGCAACAUAAAGUGGGCAAAGGCUGGUCAAGGCGGCCCAAAGCGGGCCCUUGGCGGCCCUUGUCGAGUAAAGGCGGCUACUUAAUGACCUAGGCAGGUCAAGGCGGCCCUAGGAGGGUCUAGGAGAGUCAAGGCGGCCCUUUUUUGGCUUUAUACAGGUGAAUGCGGCCCCUUAGAGUGUCAAAGUGACUUCUUGGCGGCCCUAAAAGGGUCAAGGCGGGUAAAGGUUGCCCAAGGCAGGCCAAGGUGGGUAAAGGUAGUCUAAGGCAGGUCAAGGCGGCCCCUUGGUGGCCCAAAAUGGGUUAAGGCGGCCUUUUGGCGGCCCUAGGAGCAUCAAGGUUGGUCAAGGCGAGCCAAGGGGGGUCAAGGCGACCCUAAGAGUGUUAAGGCAGCCCCAUAACGGGUUAAGGCGGCCCCUUGGUGGCCCUAGGAGGGCCUAGAAGGGUUAAGGCAGCCCUGGGCGGGUUAAGGCGGGUUAAGGCGGCCCAAGGCGGGUCAAGGAGGCCCUAGGCGGGUCAAGGCAGCCCAAACCGGGUCAAGGGGGGUCAAGGCAGCAUAAGGUGGGCAAAGGCGGGUUAAGGCAGCCCAAGGAAGAUCAAGGCGGCCAUAGACGGGUCAAGGCAGCCCAAAUCGGGCAAAGGCAAGUUAAGGCAGCCCAAGGCGGAUCAAGGCGGGCUAAGGCAAGAUCAAGACGGGUCAAAGAUGGCCAAGGCGGAUCAAGGCGGGCCAUGGUGUGUCAAGGCAGCCCUAGACGGGUGAAGGCGGCCUUAUGGUGACCCUAAGAGGGUCAAGGCGGCCCUAGACGGGUGAAGGCGGCCUUAUGGUGACCCUAAGAGGGUCAAGGCGGCCCUAUGAGGGUUAAGGCGGCCCAAAACAGGCCAAGGCGGGUCAAGGGAGCCUAAGACAGAUCAAUGCUGGCUAAGGCAGGUCAAUGCAGCCCUACGCGGGUCAAGGCGGGUCAAAACGGCCCUAGGCGGGUCAAAGCGGCCCUAAGAGGGUCAAGGCAGCCCCUUAGCGGGUUAAGGCAGCCCCUAAGCGGCCUUAGACGAGUGAAGGCAGCCCCUUAACUGGUCAAGGCGACCCCUUAGCGGCCUUAGUUGGGUAAAGGCGGCCACUUAACGACCUAGUCAAGUCAAGGCGGCCCUAGGAAGGUCUAGGAAAGUCAAGGCAGCCCCUUACCGUGUCACGACGGCCCCUUGGCGGCUUUAAAUAGGUGAACGUGGCCCCUUAGAGGGUCAAGGCGGCUUCUUAGUGGCCUUAAGAGGGUCAAGACGGGUAAAGGUAGCCCAAGGCAGGUCAAGGCGGCCCCUUGGUGGCCCAAAAUGGCUUAAAGCGGCCAAGGAGGAUCAAGGCUGGUCAAGGCAGCCCAAUGCAGAUCAAAGUGGCCCUAGGAGAGUCAAGGCAGCCCCUUAGCGGGUCAAGGCGGCCCCUUGGUUGCCCUAGGAGGGUCAAGGCAGCCCUAGGAGUGCCUAAGAGGGUCAAGGCGGCCCUAGACGGGUGAACGCGGCCCCUUGGCGGCCCUAGAUGGGUUAAGGCGGCCUCUUAGCAGUCCUAGAAGGGUCAAGGCGGGUCAAGACGGCCCAGGGUGGGCCCUAAACACUCUCUCACUGUACGUGUUUCACUCUCUCUAAUCUCUCACAAUCAGGCUCUCGAGCGGCUAUGAUACUAAAAUUGUUGAAGACUUAAACUCUAACACAGAAAACUCUGAUUGCUUGGUGAAUAAUUCUUACAGAAUCCAAAGCAAAGUUCUUAUAUAUAUAUAUAUAUAUAUAUAUAUAUAUAUAUAUUAUAUGUGUGUGUGUGUAUGGCCUAGCUACAAUGAUACUGGAAAGAUAAAGAUGCAGCCCAAGCUUUACAAGCCUAACAACGUGGUAAACUAGUUGAAGAAUGGCAAAUGAAAUGAAUAGAGAUGUCAGAC
rnacentral:lncRNA from 1 species